AACACUUUUACACGCAAGCUGGGAGGCGAAGGCUUGCUGCCAAUUUUACUUUUCUCCGACUAAACGCUCACUUGGAUCGGCUGCAUGUGGGAAGACUAAAGAAACUCUUUGGGGAUUUAGCCAGAGCUGCCUCCUAGCUGUGUUUUUGGAAGAAAGUGACAACAACGGAAGGAAAAGCUGCAAGAGAGUUGUGCUGGAGAUCACACCUGCCAGGCGCCGGCAGAGCGAGCACACUGCCUUCCUCGCGUGCGCUUGUCCGUCUGUCUGGCUGGAGAUUAGCAACAGGGAUCAUUAUUACUCCUUUCCGUACCCCGGUGAAGAGUAUUUUCCUUUCACGGAGCAACCUGGAGAGGAGGGAACUAUCCGUGCUGCACAGCCAGAGGAGCACCCAGGGUUCAAACCGAGCAGGAAAGAGUUAAAACCGAAGAAAAGCAGCAAAAAAGGAAAAUCCAUUCUUGAAACUCCACCAGGUAACUUUCCACCUCCUCCUCCAGAGCUUGGAGUCUGCUGAAUCUCAUGCUGACUGUGACUUUUAACAUUAAUGAAUAUCCAGUUAAUGGGAGUCUUGGUAAUAAUAACAAUAACCGUGCUCGCGGUGAUGAUGAUGACAACACAUUAAUUUUUAAUAUCCUGCAGAACAAGUCGUCAGAACUUUUACAGGCUUUUUAACCCCUUCCUCAUCAAGUAAAGAGCUUUAGGAGUGCUAAUGUACUAAUUAUGCUGCACUGUAGCUAGUGCAUGGACUUUUCCUUCUUAAUUACACUUGACAGCUGGAUUGUUGUUAAAGUUGCAGUUCUAAUAACAAAUGAAGGGAGACAGAUUCUGAAGUACAAGCGGGUUGUAAAUGGUAACACCUUACUUUGUCCCUGGUAAUUUUAGCGGAAGAGAGACUCCUGAAUUGAUUAUACUUACAAAUAUGAAUAUCAUUUGAGAUUUCACUUUAAAGCCCUCCAGAGGAAGAUAUGUAGACAAAGAUCUUCACUGUAAGAGACAGCCAUAGCAAACUCAGUGUAAUCAUUGGCCUGUAAAAUAAAGAAAUUAAGUGACAACAAAAAAUCCUUAUAAAAAAAAGGUCACUUGUUAUUUUAUUUUCUGUUUUCUGCAUGUGAUUUAAUGAAAAUAUGCAAAUAUUAAAAUUUGCAGAAUCUCAGUUAGCAAUUAUCAUCCAGUUGUUCCCAUUGAGAGCUAGUUGCACCAGCCUGAAGGAAAAGUUUAUUCUUGUGUUUUCUGCAUGUAUAGUAGUUACUUUUGGUAGGUUUGGGACACACUCAGAACUGAAUUUAGCCCAUGAGAUGAACUUCAGAGUUAUACAGUUAGGGACCAAAUCCUACUCACUUAAAAAUGAACUCCUCUUUACUUCAGAAGGAAACUUUUAAUGAUAAAAACCAGAGUACAGGGCACAAAGUGUGCAAUCCAGAGACAUUACUAUGUGCAACGUAGCAAAACAGCAUCAAAGGUUGUAUAGAGACAUUAUUUUACUCCGUUUACAUCUAGCCAGUAGCAAACAUAGAAUUUUCAAUUUAAGGUUAAGACUGAUAGAAAUCAAUUAGUCUUUGAUUAGAAAAGUUCUUAGCUGUUAUAAUAAUAAACAGUUGUAAGGAAAUACCAUUUCUGAAAUCUUGAAAAUGCUUUGUGGGGCAGCCAGUUUGGACUGCCAGUGUAAAUCAAGGCAGAAACCACAGAUGAGAACAAGAUCCAUCAGGGGCCAGAAGUAGGCAACAGUUUCCAGGUCUCAAGUACUGCCCCGUUUGUUAUCUAACCAUGGGCUUUUAAGUUGCCUCAUUAGGUCCCAGGUUUUCCUUAUUCAAAGUGGUAGAUGCAGCACAGGAUUCCCACUUGUAGUGCGGUGUUGUGCAGUUCAGCUUUCACCUUUUUGGUUGGCUUUUUUCCCAAUUUCCCUGGCACCAUGAUUUCACACACGCUCCAGAAAGCACAGAAACACAGGAAGAGGAAUGACUUCUAGUCUUGAAGGGCAAUGUUCAUUUACCUUGGCUGACAAGCAUCAUUCUUGUUCCCCACCUGGUGUGCUGAGCACCUUGCAGGUGCAGAGGAAGUAGCAGCUGUAUUGAUGUCAACCUCCUUCGUUGCACAGCGCUCUUCCCUUCCCAGCCUGGUUUGUUUUAUGCACUGUGCAUAUGCAGCACAGAAUUCCAGCUAUGCUGGGAGAGCAAACUGAGGUCUUACAGGCAUUUCCUAAAAAUGUUUGAUUUUGCAAGUAGAAUUGCAUUCCUUUUCUACAUAGGAAAUUAUGGAAUUAGAUAAGAAAAACAAACAAACAAGCAAAACUCUUCCUUAAACUCUCCCCCAAACAUACUCCAUUUUGUGCGAAACAGUAUACUAGUACAAGAUUCAUCUUCAUUUCGAAUUUACUGCUUCUUGAUUUCCACCCUACUUGACUCUUUUAUUUCUGUGUUCAGCCUGGCGAGCUCCUCCUCAGUCUCCUCCUCUUCCUCAGUAUGGCCAAGCACAAGGCCAAGGGAAGCAUGGGUAAAACUUACGACACACAACCAAAAGCAGCUGGAAAUAGCUCUGUUGCAGCUUUCACAGCAGGCAUGUACUCUUUUGACACAGCUACCAGCUUCCAAGCUUCCACCAGCCACCUGCAGUAAGAGGUUUUAAAGCCUAUGAGCUUUGUGAGGUUAGCCAGAGGUAACACAAACCGAUUUCCUCCACCAAACCUUUGCUCCUUGCUCCAGCAUGUGGAGGCUUGACACCUACUCAGUAAGGUGGUUGUUAGAUCUACUUUAAUAUGGUGAAAUGCAAUGCGUUUCCUCGGGAGAAGUUGAACUAUAUUAAUGGAAAUAGCCAUAACAAACCCUAGGGCGGACACACAUUAAACAGAAUGGUUACCAUUUGUUGAAGAUGCAAAUAACUGAAAACAGGAGUCAUUUAAAAGGAAGUGUCAGGCAAUUUUAACUAGAGACAGUGAUAAAAAUUCUGGCUCUAACAUCUGAAAUCUGUCCUUUUCCCUCUCCCAAAGGCAGCUAAUGGCAACAGGCAGCAGCAGUCUAACAAGGGCAUGGAGUAGAUGUCCAGGUCCCAGCAAUGCAGUGCAGUGCAGUGACACCAAAGCCUAGUGCCAUGUCAUUGGGUUUGAAAUGAAUAGCUGAACAUCUGGCCCCACACAGAGGUGCCUAAAUAAUAAUCCAUAAUUAUAAUUUCUCACAUUUGGCCAAUUAGGAGGACAACUAGAAAUAAUAAUGGUGGUUACCAAAUAGCCAAGAACAAUAACUACGUCUGAUUGUAAAUACAUGUGUGUGUUGUACAUAUGUGUAUACAUCCAUGUGCUUAUACAUGUAUCCAGAACUGGAAAUAAUUUACUGGACAUGCAGUAAAUACAAAAAUCUGAUUUUUGUGAGGCUCAUUGGAAGCUGGGGCAUGUGGGAUUAUUUAGUUGUAACAAACAAUAGGCUGGCUCGGAGCUGGGAUGAAGAAGGCGGAGGACCGGGAAAAUGUGAUCUGCCCUUUGGCUGAGCAGCUGGUACUGAUCACUUCUAGCUUUGAAUCAAAGCUGAAAUCAAACUUAGCAGUCUGAAGGAUGCAGCACAUAACAGAUGACACGGGCUCAAUUUAUUUAAGCUAAUUACUAAGGUGGUGAGAAUAUAAAUGUUUUCAAUCUGUGAAAUACAAUUGUAGGAAGAAAUCCUAUUGAUGUCAGUGGGAUUGCAAUAUAUGUAUAUAUUCAAAAAAGUGUUGUUGGAAUCAGUAUUUGCAAAUAUUCAGGU
rnacentral:lncRNA from 1 species